GUGGGGAAUAUUGGACAAUGGGGGGAACCCUGAUCCAGCCAUGCCGCGUGUGUGAAGAAGGCCUUUUGGUUGUAAAGCACUUUAAGCGAGGAGGAGGCUACCGAGAUUAAUACUCUUGGAUAGUGGACGUUACUCGCAGAAUAAGCACCGGCUAACUCUGUGCCAGCAGCCGCGGUAAUACAGAGGGUGCAAGCGUUAAUCGGAUUUACUGGGCGUAAAGCGCGCGUAGGUGGCCAAUUAAGUCAAAUGUUAAAUCCCCGAGCUUAACUUGGGAAUUGCAUUCGAUACUGGUUGGCUAGAGUAUGGGAGAGGAUGGUAGAAUUCCAGGUGUAGCGGUGAAAUGCGUAGAGAUCUGGAGGAAUACCGAUGGCGAAGGCAGCCAUCUGGCCUAAUACUGACACUGAGGUGCGAAAGCAUGGGGAGCAAACAGGAUUAGAUACCCCAGUAGUCC
rnacentral:rRNA from 1 species